AUUGAACGCUGGCGGAAUGCUUUACACAUGCAAGUCGAACGGUAGAGGGGGCAACCCCUUGAGAGUGGCGAACGGGUGAGUAAUAUAUCGGAACGUGCCCAGUCGUGGGGAUAACGUAGCGAAAGUUACGCUAAUACCGCAUACGAUCUAAGGAUGAAAGCGGGGGAUCGCAAGACCUCGCGCGAUUGGAGCGGCCGAUAUCAGAUUAGGUAGUUGGUGAGGUAAAGGCUCACCAAGCCAACGAUCUGUAGCUGGUCUGAGAGGACGACCAGCCACACUGGAACUGAGACACGGUCCAGACUCCUACGGGAGGCAGCAGUGGGGAAUUUUGGACAAUGGACGCAAGUCUGAUCCAGCCAUUCCGCGUGCAGGAUGAAGGCCCUCGGGUUGUAAACUGCUUUUGUACGGAACGAAAAGGUUUCUAUUAAUACUAGGAGCUCAUGACGGUACCGUAAGAUAAGCACCGGCUAACUACGUGCCAGCAGCCGCGGU
rnacentral:rRNA from 1 species